rnacentral:rRNA from 1 species
GACGAACGCUGGCGGCGUGCCUAAUACAUGCAAGUAGAACGCACAGUUUAUACCGUAGCUUGCUACACCAUAGACUGUGAGUUGCGAACGGGUGAGUAACGCGUAGGUAACCUGCCUGGUAGCGGGGGAUAACUAUUGGAAACGAUAGCUAAUACCGCAUAAUAUUAAUUAUUGCAUGAUAAUUAAUUGAAAGGUGCAAUUGCACCACUACCAGAUGGACCUGCGUUGUAUUAGCUAGUAGGUGAGGUAACGGCUCACCUAGGCGACGAUACAUAGCCGACCUGAGAGGGUGAUCGGCCACACUGGGACUGAGACACGGCCCAGACUCCUACGGGAGGCAGCAGUAGGGAAUCUUCGGCAAUGGACGAAAGUCUGACCGAGCAACGCCGCGUGAGUGAAGAAGGUUUUCGGAUCGUAAAGCUCUGUUGUAAGAGAAGAACGGGUGUGAGAGUGGAAAGUUCACACUGAGACG